rnacentral:lncRNA from 1 species
UCAAGCUCUCCUUUAGUGAGUACAAGUGAAUGAUUUAGUACAAAUGACAUUAGGAAAUAUUCUAAGAGAAUGAUCUCUAGUUAUAGAAGAGAGUUUCUAGUUUCAUUCUGACAUUGACACGUGUCGUGUUGUGAUUGGCUUCUGAUGUUAACACGUGUCGCGCUAUGACUGUCUUUUGAUGUCAACACGUGUCGCACUAUGAUUGGCCUCCUGGUUAGAGGGAAACUCUUCUGGGUCAUUGACGGUAACGUUGACCGGUGCUCAGUAGUUUCGGGAUUAGUCAAGUAUGGUACAAACAGAUGGCAUGACUAUAUUUAUGUUUUAUACAACUCUGACAUUGUCAUACAGGUUGUAAUAGGCAACUCUGACAUUGUUGUACAGGUUGUAAUAGUAGGCAACUGUGACAUUGUCGUACAGGUUGCAAUAGUAGGCAACUCCGACAUUGUCGUACAAGUUGUAAUAGGCAACUCAAACACUGUCUACAGGUUGCAAUGAUAGGUAACUCUGACAUUAUCGUACAUGUCGCAAUGGGCAACUCCGACACUGUCGAACAGGUUGCCUAUGAGUCGUACAGGUUGUAUUAGACCACUCCGACUCAUGUGUUUUCAUUGAUUUAUUUAUGAGUCGUAUAGGUUGUGUUAGGCAACUCUGACUGGUGGGUUAUCAUAUAUUGAUGAGCCCCUGACUUUAUUAUGUUGUUUCCGAUAUAUAGUGAUUUUGGAUUAUUUUUGCAUUUCAUGUUGAUUUACAUUCGACUUCAUACUUAUAUGUAGUAUGAUUUCCUGGAAACUAUACAAGUAGUACAUCGAGGGGUUAUAUCGUUUAGAAGAUCCUUAUUAAAGCUUUAUACUCAAGCCCACUCGCUCUUGUUUUUUUUUUAUCCUUCCAGGUUCUAGUAGCAAAGUUUUCGUAUCGACGAGGAUUCGUGGCAAGUCUUAGUAUUAGAGAUUACCUUCGACGGUAUGAUUUUUGUUUGUACCAUACUUGGCCAAUCUCGAAACUACUGAGCACCGGUCAGCAUUAUACCAUCAAGGACCUUGAAGAGUUUCCCUCCAAGUAGGAGGCCAAUCACAGCGCGACACGUGUUGACAUCAGAAGCCAAUCAUAGCGCAACACGUGUCAACAUCAGAAGCCAAUCAAAACACGACACGUGUCAAUGUCAAAACAAAGCUAGAAACUCUCGUCUGUAAAAGGAGAUCAUUCUCCCACAAUAUUUCCUAAUGUCAUUUGUACUAAAUCAUUCACUAGUGCUCACUAAAGGAGAGCUUGAACCUAUGUACUUAUGUAAACCCUUCACAAUUAAUUAGAACUCCUCUACUCCGUGGACGUAGCCAAUCUGGGUGAACCACAUACAUCUUGUGUUUGCUUCCCUGUCUCUAUCCAUUUCAUACUUAUCCACACUAGUGACCAGAGCAAUCUAGCGAAGGUCACAAACGUAAUACUUUCUGUUGUACCUAAGUCCUCACUGAUUUUGUGCAUCAACAUUUGGCGCCGUUUAUGGGAACGACACCUAUUCCCACUCUUUUCAGCUUAACAAAGUUGGUUUCCACCAUUCAUACACUCUCUUUUGACCAGGCAUCCCUUUGCAACAUGGGGAGUGAAGGAAGCAUGGCAUGAAAUCAGAAAUUAUGUAGGGGACAAGAGUGAUCAAGCAUGGCAUGGGAAUCCAAAGGGAAUUCUAUGUUGUUUUGCAUGGCAAUGAAGGCAAGUUGGGGUGACAAAUUUUUGGGCUGAGUUCUUCAUCUUUUGGACCAUAUUUCUUCACAUUCUUGGCCUCUUUAGUUCUCAAAUUCGUCCAUCCACUUUGGGCCAAAUAUGUGACAUGCAUUCCAAGAAGUGGUAAGGAGGUUGGGGUAGGUUCUUCAUAAAAAACAGGUCCCAAAGAGGAUGAAAUGUUGCAAAUGGAGGAGGAGGAAGCAUGCCCACCCACGGCAAAGGUGGACACACCUAUG